rnacentral:lncRNA from 1 species
UAUUUAUUUUUUGGCAUUGGAAAGAAGAAAGAGUCUUUAAAUGGGUCACUUAGUUUUCCUUGCCUUAUCUUGAUUGCCUCUCAUUUUUGUCACACACCAAAUUAAAUAGGAAAUUAUGGGGUGCAGGUGAGGAGAAGUCCUUCUAUUUGAAGGCUCUUUUGUGCCAUAAAAUAACACAUGGAGAAAUUAAUCUCCGUGUGAAUAAGUGGAGCGCCA